rnacentral:misc_RNA from 1 species
GAAGUGCGAUAAGCAAUGCGAAUUGCAGAACCGUGAGUCAUCAGAUUUUUGAACGCAACUGGCGCCGGUUGGUUCUCCAAUCGGCAUGCUUGUUUCAGUGUCUCUUUAUCUCAUCACCCAGAUCAUAAUGCGAGAGAUGCCCUUCUCUUGCUAAACAUGAAAGCACUCUGCGCUCUGCGAGCGGCUUCGACUUGUUCGAUUGUCGCACUCAAUGCAGCAGUCACAUUGCUCACAAUGUGAACUCAUUGAGAGCUGAGGCAGUGCAGCGUAAGCUGCCAGUGCUUAGUCACACAAACUUACUUGCAUCUGAAAUCAAGCAGGAUCACCCGCUGAACUUAA